rnacentral:rRNA from 1 species
UACAGAGGGUGCAAGCGUUAAUCGGAAUUACUGGGCGUAAAGCGUGCGUAGACGGUUACAUAAGUCGGGUGUGAAAGCCCCGGGCUCAACCUGGGAAUUGCAUUCGAGACUGCGUAGCUAGGGUGCGGAAGAGGGAAGCGGAAUUUCCGGUGUAGCGGUGAAAUGCGUAGAUAUCGGAAGGAACAUCAGUGGCGAAAGCGACUUCCUGGACCAGUACCGACGUUCAGGCACGAAAGCGUGGGGGAGCAAACAGG